rnacentral:rRNA from 1 species
UCUUUCUUUGCUGGCGACCGGCGCACGGGUGAGUAACACGUAUCCAACCUGCCCUUUACUCGGGGAUAGCCUUUCGAAAGAAGGAUUAAUACCCGAUAGCAUAAUGAUUCCGCAUGGUUUCAUUAUUAAAGGAUUCCGGUAAAGGAUGGGGAUGCGUUCCAUUAGGUUGUUGGUGGGGUAACGGCCCACCAAGCCUUCGAUGGAUAGGGGUUCUGAGAGGAAGGUCCCCCACAUUGGAACUGAGACACGGUCCAA